CGUCAGGUGUGUAUCGCCUCUCUCAGGUGAAGAAGUAUUUAACUCAGGUGUGUUUCUCCUCUCUACAGGUGUAGAAGUAUUUAACUCAGGUGUGUUCUCCGCUACGAGGUGUAGAAAGUAUUUAACUCAGUGUGUUCUCCUCUCUACAGGUGUAGAAGUAUUUAACUCAGGUGUAGAAGUAUUUAACUCAGGUGUGUUCUCCUCUCUACAGGUGUAGAAGUAUUUAACUCAGGUGUGUUCUCCUCUCUACAGGUGUAGAAGUAUUUAACUCAGGUGUGGUUCUCCUCUCUACAGUGUUAGAAUGGAUUUAACUCAGGUUGUUCUCCUCUCUCCAGUGUA
rnacentral:lncRNA from 1 species